rnacentral:lncRNA from 1 species
CGUGCGAACCGAAGAGCCGCAUGGAGAUGCAUACCACUCCUCAACCAUGGUCGAAGAGCAUACGAAUCGAGAACCACAUGGAGAUACGUAUCGCUCCUCAAUCAUGGUCGAGGAGCAUAUGAAUGAAGAUCGAAUGGCAUUCUGUUCCUCGAUCAUGGUCAAGGAGUGCGCAAUGGAGACCUACAUGGAGAGCAUGGAGAGUACGUUCCAUACC